CCUACGGGUGGCAGCAGUGGGGAAUAUUGGACAAUGGGGGGAACCCUGAUCCAGCCAUGCCGCGUGUGUGAAGAAGGCGCUCGGGUUGUAAAGCACUUUCAGUGAGGAAGAACGCCUGGUGGUUAAUACCCAUCAGGAAAGACAUCACUCACAGAAGAAGCACCGGCUAACUCCGUGCCAGCAGCCGCGGUAAUACGGAGGGUGCGAGCGUUAAUCGGAAUUACUGGGCGUAAAGCGCGCGUAGGUGGCUUGAUAAGCCGGUUGUGAAAGCCCCGGGCUCAACCUGGGAACGGCAUCCGGAACUGUCAAGCUAGAGUGCAGGAGAGGAAGGUAGAAUUCCCGGUGUAGCGGUGAAAUGCGUAGAGAUCGGGAGGAAUACCAGUGGCGAAGGCGGCCUUCUGGACUGACACUGACACUGAGGUGCGAAAGCGUGGGUAGCAAACAGGAUUAGAUACCCCAGUAGUC
rnacentral:rRNA from 1 species